rnacentral:misc_RNA from 1 species
UCACGUCUUGCGACGGCAGUUUCUUCAGAGUUCCCACCAUUACGUGCUGGCAACUGAAGAUGGGGGUUGCGCUCGUUGCGGGACUUAACCCAACACCUCACGGCACGAGCUGACGACAGCCAUGCAGCACCUUACUACCUGUAUAUUGCUAUAAAAUACCCUUUCAGGUACGGUCAGGUAGCAUUCUAGCCCAGGUAAGGUUCCUCGCGUAUCAUCGAAUUAAACCACAUACUCCACCGCUUGUGCGGACCCCCGUCAAUUCCUUUGAGUUUCAUCCUUGCGGACGUACUUCCCAGGUGGAUUACUUAAUGCUUUCGCUCAGACACACACUGUGUAUCGCGUAUGUCGAGUAAUCAUCGUUUAGGGCGUGGACUAC